UACGGAGGGAGCUAGCGUUGUUCGGAAUUACUGGGCGUAAAGCGCGCGUAGGCGGCUUUGUAAGUUAGAGGUGAAAGCCCGGGGCUCAACCCCGGAACUGCCUUUAAGACUGCAUCGCUUGAAUCCGGGAGAGGUGAGUGGAAUUCCGAGUGUAGAGGUGAAAUUCGUAGAUAUUCGGAAGAACACCAGUGGCGAAGGCGGCUCACUGGACCGGGUAUUGACGCUGAUGUGCGAAAGCGUGGGGAGCAAACAGG
rnacentral:rRNA from 1 species